rnacentral:lncRNA from 1 species
GGGGGGGUGGGGGAAGCCGCCAUGGCCGUCGAGGGAGCCGCCGCGUCCGCUCCCCCGCCCCGGCCCCGCCGUUGUGCCGCUCCGCCCUGCUUGGCAGAGGGCUACGUGCCAAGGGUUGCUGCCAUCCAGUGGAGGCGAUUUAUUUUAAUUUGACUUAUUUUUUUAAAUAUAUGUGAGAAAUCCCAUUGAUUUAAGUAAAAGUACCAGUAAAAGGGGGAAAACGUCCAGGGGACCAGCUCUCACGCCUGCCGUGGGAGGGGGCGCUUUACCUUCGGCGUUGCCGUUUGGCCAAAAGACUUCGGGUUCAAAUAAUCGGUGGAAGGGAGUUGCGUGCGGUUGCGUCAGGUGGCGCGACCGCGCUGCCUGCCGCUCGCGGCAAAGAGGCUCCUGCAGCUAAAGCUGAGGAAAUCAUCAGUUCGACUCCUGUUUCAUCAGCAGCGUUUUACCAGUUUGUUUUCAGCACGCCGUUCCCGUUUGAGAGGAAGCUCCGGGGCUGGCUGAGAUAACCAGCCUGCUGCUGUCGGCCACCCGAACGCACGAGGCAGCCGGUGACAAACCUUGGUUCACAGCAGCACGCAAACCCCUGUCCAAGACGACGCUGUUGCUCUCUCCAGGCUUUCGUAAUUUGUGAUUGCAGGAUAAAUAACUUUUAUCGAUGCCUUUCAGUACGUCCUUCCAAUCUGCUAUUCCUCUCUGAUUCUCUCCAAAAAAAAAAAAAAAGUUCCCGAAAGGAAUCGGUGGUGGAUUGAAUACAGAUUAAAGUGGGGUUGGCGGUUGCCUGGCAGUAGGUGGUGCUGGCUGCAGGUGGUGCUGUUAAACCUGUACUUCGCAAGGAUUAAAAUCCAUCCAGACCUUGGCAGAAAUGAAAAAUGGCAUUCGAUAUUCAUACUGUUACACGCAGGCAAGCAGUACAGAGUGUAAUCUCCGCUGUUAGCGUGGUCUAAUGGCGUUCGCUGUGCGGCAGCUCAGGUUUGUAGGCGAGACCAUCAGGUAAUGCAUUCUCAUCUCUGAGCUGUUACUCAGAAAGGCAGCUGGGAUCAAUGAGCUGCGCUUGAUCGGUGUGUGGCAGAUGAAAGCUGAAGGAGGGCGGAAAGACAGAAACACCCACAGGUCCCUGCCAGCGGCAGGCGCGUUGUCUAAAGGAUGCGUUUUCGUUGCUUGACUUCUA